CGGGCUGUGGAAAAUCUGAUUUCUCUGUUAAAAUAAGAAAUUGCUGAAGCAAGUGACAGUAAAAAGCACACGUUAUUACGUGGACAUGAAAAUAAGGAAGGAAAAUAUUCGCUCAUAUUGUGGGUCUUGUAGAGCUGUUUUCCCGUGGUUUCCUUCUCUUUUCUUGUGCACCUGACUCAUCUGUAAGUACAAAGUUAAUUACUGUCUUUAUAUGGACAAGCUUCAGAUCAAUCUCUCUGUUCCAGAUCCAUCUGCUUGUGUCCAAAUGAAAUCUCAGCCUGCCUGUCUUGCAUUUCCUCUUGAUGUGUCAUCCUCAGCUCCAGUUCAAGGAAGAAAAAACUCAGCUGUUCAUCCUUCAUCACAACUCUUAGCUGUUAAUCAACAAUCUCUUCCUCUUUUGGAGAAGCUCUGCUGUUCUGAGUGAAAUCAGAUUUGCUAUCCAACAUACUUCUUGUUAGUGGUGGUUGGAAGAACAUUGCAACUCUCAUCUCUGGAAUGCAGACAGUGGGUGGCUGAAUAGCAUUUUUAUGGGGAGACUUCAGCUGACUUCCAUGGAAGCGAGACUAGGAUCAGUGCGAUAUCCAUCCUGGAAGGUGGACCUUUCUAUUCACACAAAAGCGUCCAAUACCACAGUGGAUCAAUUCACUGGAGAUGAAGACAAUCAUUUAAAACAAGGAUGGAGUGCACAUUCAAUUUACUCCCCUGGCAUUCUUCUGGGAUUUCCAUCUUCAGUAAGGACCGGUGGCUGCUGCUGGUGCCCAGUUGUUUCAUGGGUGCUGAUUAAGUGCUGUUUACACAGUGAAAGAGACAGUCUUUUUGGUGGUAUUGAUUCAACAAAAGAUGUCUGUCAGGUGGGAGGAUGUGUGGGUGUGCCAGUACCAGAUGAUUUCCCCGUGCACCUACAUCCCAGCAUUGCUAACAAGUGUUUCAGUGACUUGCUUCUUACUACUGAAAGUGAUACAGAACAAAAG
ensembl:lncRNA